AUUGUUCGCUAAAGGUUCAAUCCGUUUUCAGCCUACUAGCCGCUAUGGCCCAUGAUUGUUUUGAAACCUUGGAAAACCGGUCCCAAACCGAUUCGUAGCAUCCAUUCCUCCACCCGGUUCUCUCGUAGAAUGCGCAAACCGGUUCAAAAUUGGCGGGUUCAGUCGGCACCAAAUCGGUUUCUAUGCUUUCAAACCGAUUUCGAGUGGGGUUUAUACGGUUUUAUUUCACCAAUCGGACUAUGUUUUUUCUCACAUCGAUUCUGAUUUUGAGCCUGACAAUGGUAGGUUUGAUGCCACAGUAUUUUAAACAAGGAACGUUAUCAUGUUGUAGAAGAACUUGAAAAACUGCUAAAGUGAAUCUCCUUCAGCACAAAACAAUUAUUUCACUCGUUGGAAAUGUUCGGAGGGCGUCACGUGUAUUGGAGAAGGUCUUCUUCCAACUCUGAUGGUGAUUUUGGUUCUCUGUUGUUUGGUUUACGGAACAAGCUGGAAACGACUACAAAAAACGAAGCGCUCCCGUGCCCAGGAAACAUGAGGUCGUGAACGGAGAACAACUCGUGGUGACCUCCGAGGUUCCAUAUCGAAAGCUUCGUGUCUUCGUCUUUGAAUGUUUUUACUUUCAUUCCUGUUGUUUUUAUCGCUUGCUCAACUGGAUUUACUAGGGUUUUGACUUGAUCAAUGUAUGGUAGCUUUGGAGAAGACAGGUUUUGUGAUAUGGAGUUGCAUAAUGUGGUUUUUCCUGCAUGAA